rnacentral:rRNA from 1 species
UACCCGCAGCUCAAGUGGUGGUCAUUAUUAUUGGGCCUAAAGCGUCCGUAGCUGGCUUGUUAGAUGCCUGGGUAAAUCGAUGCGCUCAACGUAUCGAACUCCGGGUAGACCGGCAAGCUUGGGACCGGGAGAGGCAUGGGCUACUCGCGGGGUAGGGGUAAAAUCCUGUAAUCCUGCGGGGAGGACCAGUGGCGAAGGCGCCAUGCUAGAACGGCUCCGACAGUGAGGGACGAAGCCCUGGGGCGCAAACCGG